GAUGAACGCUGGCGGCGUGCCUAAUACAUGCAAGUCGAGCGAAUGGAUUAAGAGCUUGCUCUUAUGAAGUUAGCGGCGGACGGGUGAGUAACACGUGGGUAACCUGCCCAUAAGACUGGGAUAACUCCGGGAAACCGGGGCUAAUACCGGAUAACAUUUUGAACCGCAUGGUUCGAAAUUGAAAGGCGGCUUCGGCUGUCACUUAUGGAUGGACCCGCGUCGCAUUAGCUAGUUGGUGAGGUAACGGCUCACCAAGGCAACGAUGCGUAGCCGACCUGAGGGGGUGAUCGGCCAACAUGGGACUGAGACACGGCCCAGACUCCUACGGGAGGCAGCAGUAGGGAAUCUUCCGCAAUGGACGAAAGUCUGACGGAGCAACGCCGCGUGAGUGAUGAAGGCUUUCGGGUCGUAAAACUCUGUUGUUAGGGAAGAACAAGUGCUAGUUGAAUAAGCUGGCACCUUGACGGUACCUAGCCAGAAAGCCACGGCUAACUACGUGCCAGCCGCCGCCGUAA
rnacentral:rRNA from 1 species